AAGGCAGCUACCUGGUGACAGGAUGCUAAUCCCAAAAGCCUCUCUCAGUUCGGAUCGAAGUCUGCAACCCGACUUCGUGAAGCUGGAUUCGCUAGUAAUCGCGCAUCAGCCAUGGCGCGGUGAAUACGUUCCCGGGCCUUGUACACACCGCCCGUCAAGCCAUGAAAGCCGGGGGUACCUGAAGUACGUAACCGCAAGGAGCGUCCUAGGGUAAAACUGGUAAUUGGGGCUAAGUCGUAACAAGGUAAC
rnacentral:rRNA from 1 species